rnacentral:rRNA from 1 species
CGGAUGAACGCUGGCGGCGUGCUUAACACAUGCAAGUCGAACGGAGAAAGGGUAGCUUGCUAUCUUUUCUUAGUGGCGGACGGGUGAGUAACGCGUGGGUAACCUGCCCUUUGCAGGGGGAUAACAGUGAGAAAUCACUGCUAAUACCGCAUACCAACUUCUUUCGCAUGAAAGAAGUUUGAAAGAUUUAUCGGCAAAGGAUGGACCCGCGUUGGAUUAGCUAGUUGGUGAGAUAACAGCCCACCAAGGCAACGAUCCAUAGCCGGCCUGAGAGGGUGAACGGCCACACUGGGACUGAGACACGGCCCAGACUCCUACGAGAGGCAGCAGUGGGGAAUAUUGCACAAUGGGCGAAAGCCUGAUGCAGCGACGCCGCGUGAAGGAUGAAGGGUCUUCGGAUUGUAAACUUCUAUCAGCAGGGAAGAAAGGGCUUAUAGCCUAUGACGGUACCUGACUAAGAAGCCCCGGCUAACUACGUG